rnacentral:snoRNA from 1 species
CUCUUUCUAAAAGCACUCAGAGGGCCCUUUGAUAAUGACCCACUGAGCCAUAAGAAAGGACAGAAUGAAAACACCACUUUUGGGUGAAGCAGCAGUGUGUUGUGUUGUUUUCCUUCAAUUGGUGGCAUGACAAGG